UAGUAACUGCGAGUGAACAGGGAUUAGCCCAACACCGAAGCCUGCGGUUAUUUGAUCGUAAGGCAAUGUGGUGUUUAGGGUGGCUUCAGGCAUUACUGCUCUGUCCCAAGUCCAGCAAUGAGUACGGCUUCCCAUUCUGGCCCAAAGAGGGUGAAAGGCCCGUGGGGGCAGAGAUCAAGUGUGACAGUUUUGCUCUGAGCUACCCUUGGAGUCGGGUUGUUUGUGAAUGCAGCCCAAAGUGGGUGGUAAACUCCAUCCAAGGCUAAAUACUUACACGAGUCCGAUAGCAAACAAGUACCGUGAGGGAAAGUUGAAAAGUACUUUGAAGAGAGAGUAAACAGUGCGUGAAACCGCUCAAAGGUAAACGGGUGGAGUUGAACUGCAAGCUCUGGGAAUUCAGCUGAUGAGUGUGAUUUGUACUUGGGCAUACUGGCCGCCUUCAGUGUCUGUUUAACCGCAGGUGCCUUCCUUUUUGGUGGGUAUGUGUGAAUCGUUUGCUUACGACGCGCGCACUGUUGGUGUGAGGGUCUGCUUGUCAGUGCACUUUCUCAGGGUGUUCACCACGACCGGCACUGCUGCCUGUCUGCUAUGGUCAAACUGAUCAGGUCUGAUUUCUGUCAGUCUUGGUUGGGUCGGUAGGUGGCUCUUUGGCUCAUUUAUGGGCCGUGAGUGUUACUAACUGGCUGUAGUGGAUCUGUGCGGUGUGUCGGAGAUGGCGGCUUCGCAUGCGUGCUUAGACCUUCGGGCAUUGCUGAGUGUGGUCGGUUUGUUACUAGCUUCGGCUGGUCGGCUGAUGGCUUGGUUUUGUCACGUCGGCGGUUGCGUGUGUGGUUUGCAUUGGGCCAAUAGUCUGUGGUGUAGUGGUAGACGAUCCACCUGACCCGUCUUGAAACACGGACCAAGGAGUUUAACAUGUGCGCGAGUCAUUGGGUGUUACGAAACCCAAAGGCGAAGUGAAGGUAAAGGUUCGGCUUGUCCGGACUAAGGUGAGAUCCUGUUGUCUUGCUCAUACUUUCCAAGUUGCGAGCAGCGGGCGCAUCACCGGCCCGUCCCAUGACGUAGACAUGUGACCUCGUGUUGUGUGCACCGUCGGGGCGGAGCAAGAGCGUACACGUUGAGACCCGAAAGAUGGUGAACUAUGCUUGUGAAGGUUGAAGCCAGAGGAAACUCUGGUGGAGGACCGUAGCGAUUCUGACGUGCAAAUCGAUCGUAUAACGUGAGUAUAGGGGCGAAAGACUAAUCGAACUAUCUAGUACUGGUC
rnacentral:rRNA from 1 species